AGAACGAACGCUGGCGGCGUGCUUAACACAUGCAAGUCGAGUGCGCGCCUGUAGCAAUACAGGUGGCGCACGGCGCACGGGUGCGUAACACGUGGGUAAUCUGCCCUCUGAUGGGGAAUAACUCGCCGAAAGGCGAGCUAAUUCCGCAUAAUAUUCCGGGAACUUAUGUUUCUGGACUGAAAGGCGUAAGUCGUCGGAGGAGGAGCCCGCGCACGAUUAGCUAGUUGGUAGGGUAAUGGCCUACCAAGGCUUUGAUCGUU
rnacentral:rRNA from 1 species